GUAGGGGGCAAGCGUUGCUCGGAAUUACUGGGCGUAAAGGGUGAGUAGGCGGUCGGGCAAGUCAAGGAUGAAAUCCCGAGGCUCAACUUCGGAAUUGUUCUUGAAACUGCUCGGCUUGAGGGUAGUUGAGGAGAGUGGAAUUCCCGGUGGAGCGGUGAAAUGCGUAGAUAUCGGGAGGAACACCUGAGGCGAAGGCGGCUCUCUAAGCUACUCCUGACGCUGAAUCACGAAAGCUAGGGGAGCAAACGGGAUUAGAUACCCCGGUAGUCCUAGCCGUAAACGAUGGACACUGGAUAUUCCGGCAUUUCUGCUGGAGUGUCGUACUAACGCGUUAAGUGUCCCGCCUGGGGAGUACGAUCGCAAGGUUG
rnacentral:rRNA from 1 species